UACGUAGGUGGCAAGCGUUGUCCGGAAUUAUUGGGCGUCAAGCGCGCGCAGGCGGUCCUUUAAGUCUGAUGUGAAAGCCCACGGCUCAACCGUGGAGGGUCAUUGGAAACUGGAGGACUUGAGUACAGAAGAGGAAAGCGGAAUUCCACGUGUAGCGGUGAAAUGCGUAGAGAUGUGGAGGAACACCAGUGGCGAAGGCGGCUUUCUGGUCUGUAACUGACGCUGAGGCGCGAAAGCGUGGGGAGCAAACAGG
rnacentral:rRNA from 1 species